rnacentral:misc_RNA from 1 species
GAUGAAGAACGUAGCGAAAUGCGAUAAGUAGUGUGAAUUGCAGAAUUCAGUGAAUCAUCGAAUCUUUGAACGCACAUUGCGCCCCUUGGUAUUCCAUGGGGCAUGCCUGUUCGAGCGUCAUCUACACCCUCAAGCUCUGCUUGGUGUUGGGCGUCUGUCCCGCCCCCGCGCGUGGACUCGCCCCAAAUCCAUUGGCAGCGUUCCUUGCCCCCUCUCGCGCAGCACAUUGCGCUUCUCGAGGGCGGCUCCGGGACGCGAUCCAGCAAGAUGACCACCGUCUUUGACCUCGGAUCAGGUAGGAAUACCCGCUGAACUUAAGCAUAUCAAUAAGCGGAGGA